rnacentral:rRNA from 1 species
UACGGAGGAUGCGAGCGUUAUCCGGAUUUAUUGGGUUUAAAGGGUGCGUAGGCGGCCUUGUAAGUCAGCGGUGAAAUUUUGCAGCUUAACUGUAAAAGUGCCGUUGAUACUGUGAGGCUAGGAUUUGGUUGCUGUGGGUGGAAUGUGUGGUGUAGCGGUGAAAUGCUUAGAGAUCACACAGAAUAUCGAUUGCAAAGGCAGCUCACAAAGCCAAGAUUGACGCUGAGGCACGAAAGUGUGGGGAUCAAACAGGA